rnacentral:rRNA from 1 species
UACGUAGGGUGCGAGCGUUGUCCGGAAUUACUGGGCGUAAAGAGCUCGUAGGUGGUUUGUCGCGUUGUUCGUGAAAACUCACAACUCAAUUGUGGGCGUGCGGGCGAUACGGGCAGACUGGAGUACUGCAGGGGAGACUGGAAUUCCUGGUGUAGCGGUGGAAUGCGCAGAUAUCAGGAGGAACACCGGUGGCGAAGGCGGGUCUCUGGGCAGUGAACUGACGCUGGAGGAGCGAAAGCGUGGGGAGCGAACAGGA